UAAUAAGAUAGAGGUGCGAUGUUUAUUAGUAGAUUUACUGACGGACAGAAACGGUUGAGGUAAGUAGAAAGGAAAUGUUGCCGAAGAAUUGCAUUUUUUCUGUAGAUGUAGUUCUGGUUGCUGUGGCUAAUAGCCCUGUGACUGUCACUAUGUAGGCGAGAUAGCCUUUAGUGGAGCGCUAUCUGUGUU
rfam:Eubacterium sp. CAG:274 genomic scaffold, scf115